rnacentral:rRNA from 1 species
UACAGAGGGUGCGAGCGUUGUCCGGAAUCACUGGGCGUAAAGGGCGCGUAGGCGGCUUGAUAAGGUUGCGGUGAAAGCCCGGGGCUCAACCCCGGGUCGGCCGUGGCAACUGUCGAGCUGGAGCACUGUAGAGGCAGGUGGAAUUCCGGGGUGUAGCGGUGGAAUGCGUAGAGAUCCGGAAGAACACCGGUGGCGAAGGCGGCCUGCUGGGCAGUGGCUGACGCUGAGGCGCGACAGCGUGGGGGAGCAAACAGG